ensembl:lncRNA
UUGUUUUGAACUUUUCUCUGAUGAAAAUCUGAAUGUUUGACAUGUUUUGAAAGUUUUCCCUCUCGCCCACAUCGAAAGUGCUCCCGUGUGAGAGCUGAAGUUCGCGCCGGGAUCUCGGCGCUGUUCUGAAACUCACCGGGGACUCCGACGAUCUCCGCCACCUGCCGCCACGCGUCGCUCCGCAUGUUCAGGUCCCGAUAGGUCGGGGAGUUCAUGUCGUAGAGACUCGGGAAGCCAGAGACCGCCAUGAUCAGCUUGUAUUCCAUUCUCCUGUAUUUAAAACUCUGGCAGAGCGGAGCCGGACUGGAAAGAAAAUAAAAGAACGAAUGGGGGGAAACACUACUUCCGUUUCCGUGAUGUGUACAGCUGGCGAGCUGCAGCGGUUGUACUAAUGUACUGUUAGAGAAACCGUGUGAUUAUUGUAACGGUGGACAGCGCACGGCAAGGACCGGUUGGGGUGAGCCGGAGGCUGGCGCGUCAGCGGGACCUGCCAAGCUGGAGACAGAUGUGCGCAGGGGUCCUGCCACACCCGAGGGCAGCGUGCUGUCCGGUCCAGCCUCUCUUCCAACAGAGGCAGCACGCUGCGCAGUACUGCGCGCCGACCGCCUGCUCAGCUGCCUGUGAGCCCCGGCUCACUUCCAUGCCUGCUGCCCCGCGGCUGUUUGCCACAUGGAAGGCUACCUGGGGCGACGAUGAUCCGGGCCGAUUCCCUUGCCUGCUCGCGGAGGGGGCGAGUAGGUUAGAUUCGGCCUCAGGGGCGAAGGGGGUAUGUGGCGGAGUACGUUCUGCGAUGCGCUGCAGGUGAGAUGGACUUACCUGAGCGGCAUCUACAAUCAUGCCUCGCCGGCGUAAAACCUGUGCUGUGUUCUGUGUUGUUGUUGAUUGUGAUGUGUACAGCUGGCAGCAGGAAAGCUGCAGCAGAAUGUACUGUUACAGCAGCCAUGUGAUUAUUGUAAGAAUAAAUCAUGCUGUGAAGCAUGAAAAUGCCAUCAGGUCUGCCAUGGCAGUUUACUUUUUUUUUUUCUUUUUUUUUUUUUUUUUUAAUAAAAAUUUUUCAAUAAAUUGCGCAAACCAGUAAACAAAUCAAAACAAGUACUGUUGAGAAACUAUAAUACAAAAUUUAAAAUUAAAAUUCUCAAUAACAAUAACUGGUAAAAAUAUAAAUAAUAUGUAAACAACAGGCACGUGCAGAGGGGGAGCUAGAGGGGCUUUUUUUUUUUUUUAAUUCUUUUUUUUUUUUUUAAUGUGUGUGCGUGCGGAGUCCUGUCUGUGCCCCUCAACAAUAAUAUUUAACUAUUAAUCACAGUUUUGCUAAAUAAAAGGAUCUGGCUUGCAUCAGUCACAUGAUCACAUUUAACCAAUGAUCGCCCUCGACGGCAGAACGUGCUGGUUACGAGCCGGGAACGAGCUCACAAAGAGCACGCGCAUUUUUUCCGGUCCGGAGCUGUAGGAGAAACACAAGUUAACUCAGAGACACAGACUGAUGCGACAAAACCAUCUCAGAUCAACACAGCCCUGCCCUCCAGCACUAUCCACAGCAACCCCUCAACAGCAACAUUGUACCCAUCAGAUUGAUGGACUGUAGUUUGUCAGAGAUCAGCUGUGAUUGUCUGGCAGCAGCGCUGAAGUCCAACCCCUCCCAUCUGAGACAGCUGGACCUGUGGGGAAACAACCUGAAGGAUCCAGAUGUGAAGCAGCUGUGGGAUCUUUAGCAGAGUCCAGACUACAGACUGGAGACUCUGAGGUGGAGGUGAUGAUGGUAAACAGGACGGUGUGUGUGCUGAGGGAGGAGAAGCUGUGUCCUGAUGAUCCAGAGAGGUUGAAGCAGCAGCAGCUUGUGUGUAGAGAUGCUCUGACUGGGCCAUGUUACUGGGAGGUGGAGAGGAGAGCUUCAUCCAGCAGUGACUGACAGAGGAAUAAGCAGAAGUGCAGAUGACUGUCAGUGCUGCAGAGUGAACUGCUCUGAGAACAGCUCCACUAUCAGACACAAUGUAGAGUCCAGCAUCAUCCCUGUGUGUCCCUCUGGAUCUGACAGAGGAUCAUCAGUGUAUCUGGACUGCUCUGCUGCUGCUCUGUCCUUCUACAGUCUCUGCACAGUCUCUGUCUGACUCUGGCUUCAGAUCCUCCUGGAUCAAACUCACCUGGAAAGACUUUCAAACAUCACUCAAUAGAUUUGAAUACAGAAUAUAUUUGAUAUAUACUGUAGAUGUACUUUAGAGUUGCAGUUUGUCACUUGUAAAUACAGUCUGUGAGCAACUAUGAGCUGAAAGAUCUUUCUAGAAAUACAAAAUGUUUUCGCUCUUCUGUUGCUUUUUCAUAUAUUUCCACAACAUUAAUAUUGAUCCCACCUGUCUCACCUGUUUCAUGCUUUUAUACAUAAAACCGGACUCGUGUGAUUUGAGGCUGCUGUGGUUGCUGUGCUGCACGUCUUCAUUUAGAUAAUAGAGUUAUCUAGUGGUUCAGAGGGAGAACUGCAGGAGGUGGAGCUGUGUUUUAGCAUGGAAAACUUUUUAUCUUUUAGGCGCAGAUACAAAUAUGACAAGUAUCAGUGUAAGAUACAAAAGGUCACAUCAGUCAGCAGAGGGAACAGUGAUCACACAGAAAUGUAAGAAUAGAAACAUAACAGUGAAUCUGGACAUGUAUACAGAUGGAAGCAAACAAACAGGAUGUAACACUACAUUAAAGCCACAAAUGGGAAGAAAACAACCCCAAAGGAAAAUAUAUUUGAUCUCAGGAAUCCAAAUCAGAUGCUUUAGAGCAGGGAUCGACAAGCCUGGGCAUGCGUGUCACAGCUGGUACGUGAAGGGUUAACUGAUGGCACGAUCAUAGCUGCACUGGCCAUCGGGCAUACCGAUGGUGAUUUUUGUUUUUAUGGGGGGAAAAUGAUGGUUUUUUUUGUUUUUUUUGUGUUUUUUUGUAACGGUAUAAACGAUGAAAGGUGGUGGAUUGGCCACACUGUAAGAGAUAUACAUAAAAAUUACAGUUAAUAACUGUAAAAUGGCAUCAGUAAAAACAGUAAACAUUGAAUCAAAAAGAGUAAUUGAUUGUAAUAUGGACAUUACAUUUCUGUAAAUUGAAAAACAGUGAUUUGCUUUGGUGCCGCUUCUUAAUGACGGUAUCUUAGCUAACAACCCCAACUACCAGAUUAAACUUGUAACUGGCUAAAAAUAACUUAGCCUACCGGUGAGAGGGACGUUGCUAGCUGGCAGUUUUUUCAAGCAAUGUUGAACGUUCCAUAUUCAGACACUUCAAAAGCUUCAGGAGCAUCAGCACCACGUAAAUACACGGAUACAUCCGGAUACUCGAGUCAGAAUUCACAAUGGGUUUUUGGGACUUUCUUGUGUAUGGACCAAUGUUUUCUUUUCUGAGCAAACCAGAAAGCUUUAAUUAGCAGAUGGAUUUGUGUCGCAUUAACUGGCUGGACACAGAGGACAUCGAAAUGCAGCUGAUUGAACUGAAAAGCUCGACUCUGUGGGGGUCAAAGUUUGCAGAACUACGAACGCUGGAAUCCACAGCUGUGCGUGUUCAUGGAGCUGCAUUUUCACCUGCUGGACAUCACUACCUGACAAGUUUAACUGUCUUCAGAACAUUGCAGAGGCCUUAUUGACAGUAUUUGGCUCUACAUAUCUGUGUGAGCAGAUUUUCUCUCGGAGACCUGUGUCUCUGAGUGGGAGACCAGAGAUCACAUUGACAUGUGUGUCUCUGUAUUAACAAACAUGCCAUAUUGGCCCAGUUUACUUUUCUUAUCAUUGUUGUGAGGAGACCAUAAAUAGCAUUUGUAUUUUCUGUUGUACAGUUCAUUUGCUGUUAUGGAUAAAAAGUCUUUUUUUUGUUUCAAAGUAGUUGAUAACUAUUCGCUGAUAGCUGCCAACAUCUGCGCACAAAUAUAAUUCUAUAAAGUGGUUCUAUAUAGUGUGUAACUGUUAAUAUAGAGCGUUAUUAAAUUUAUUGCUAAUGCAAUCAUAUGGCACACUGACCUCUGAGGAAAUUUUAGAUGCACUCGUCACCAGAAAGGUUGCCGACCUAAACCAGGGGGUUUAGAGUAUCAUAGAGUUUUUGUGGUUUGUUUUCUUUAAGUCAUUUCACAGAUUUUCUCUAUAAUUUUAAUUCCUUGAAUAAAACAACAAACUUAGGGGAUGAUUUUGUAAUCC